CCUUUCCGGGGGCCUCAGGCGUUUAGCAGUGGAUGCAGGUCGUGAGAAGGUGUAAUUGAAGCCACAUUUCUCCUGCCUUUGUUCUCCUCAGUGGGAAAAUGUCUGUGACUUCUGCUGGUGACGGAACCACAGACACUCCUGACGGUGGUUGGCUCCCUACGUUCCUAGGUUAAGGGUACAGCCAGAUUUCAGCUCCAGCUCGGAGAUCUGAAAGGUGCAAAUGUUCACCAGUCCCCAAGGUUUCUUUCGGGGAACCGGGGUAACGCCGAUCACAUGAAGUGUUGGAGGGACCCCAAAAUGAAUCAGAAUGGAGCCCAUGGCUUCAGGCGUUUUUUAAUUCACUUUUUGACCGAGGUACAGUUGACGAAUACUGUGUUAGUUUCAGCCGCCCCACGUAGGGACUCGGUGUCUGUGCACCUUGUGAAAUGAUCGCUGCCAUUGUGUGGCCAACGUCUGUCAUUUUACACAGUGACAAAAAACCUUCUGGGUGAUGAGCAUGUUCCAGAUUUACUCUCUUAGCAAAACUGGCAGCUGUGUAAUAGAGUAUUAUUGACUGCAUGAACUUUGGUUACUUGUGCAUCGACCUCAAUGUGUAAUCCGCUAUGUAAAUAACAUAUCUGCA